rnacentral:tRNA from 1 species
GCGGACGUGGUGGAAUCGGUAGACACAAGGGACUUAAAAUCCCUCGGCCUUGCGCCAUGCGGGUUCGAGUCCCGCCGUCCGUACCA